rnacentral:rRNA from 1 species
GACGAACGCUGGCGGCGCGCUUAACACAUGCAAGUCGAGCGACCACCCAUCCGCUUGCGGAUGCUGAAAGCGGCGAACGGGUGAGUAACACGUGGGUGACCUGCCCUCGGCACCGGGAUAGCCCGGGGAAACCCGGAUUAAUACCGGAUGGCCUCACCGGUCUACGGGCCAGUGAGAAAAGGUAGCUUCGGCUUCUAGCCGAGGAUGGGCCCGCGUCCGAUUAGCUAGUUGGUGAGGUAAUGGCUCACCAAGGCGACGAUCGGUAGCUGGUCUGAGAGGACGAUCAGCCACACUGGGACUGAGACACGGCCCAGACUCCUACGGGAGGCAGCAGUGGGGAAUCUUGCGCAAUGGGCGAAAGCCUGACGCAGCGACGCCGCGUGCGGGAGGAAGGCCUUCGGGUUGUAAACCGCUUUCAGGGGGGACGAAGCCACUCGGGUGAAUAGCCCAGAGGGUGACGGUACCCCAGAAGAAGCCCCGGCUAACUACGUG